GGUGCUGUGGCGUAGCUGGUAAAGCGUCUGCCUGCAGUGCAGGAAUCCCAUAUGGGUGCUGGUUUGAGUCCUGGCUGCUCCA
rnacentral:tRNA from 1 species